GACGAACGCUGGCGGCGUGCCUAAUACAUGCAAGUCGAACGCAGUGGGGACGGGUGAGUAACACGUGGGUAACCUCCCAUCAGAGGGGAUAACACUUGGAAACAGGUGCUAAACUGAAAUUGCUGGAUGGACCCGCGGUGCUGUAGCUAGUUGGUGGGGUAACGGCUCACCAAGGCCACGAUGCAUAGACGACCUGAGAGGGUGAUCGGCCACACUGGGACUGAGACACGGUCCAGACUCCUACGGGAGGCAGCAGUAGGGAAUCUUCGGCAAUGGGCGAAAGCCUGACCGAGCAACGCCGCGUGAGUGAAGAAGGUUUUCGGAUCGUAAAACUCUGUUGUUAGAGAAGCGGUAUCUAACCAGAAAGCCACGGCUAACUACGUGCCAGCAGCCGCGGUAAUAC
rnacentral:rRNA from 1 species